GGAUAUUACACUUUGGAUCUUAUAAAUAUAUAAAUGUAAAAUGUGUAAAAAUAAACAAUCGCCUAGCGACUUCAGACGCAUUCUGCAAUUAUUGCUGAGAAAUGCCCUUCAAUUCUAAUGCUCGGAAAAUCUUCGAAAUCGAGUAAAUAAAGGCGGCGGUGCGUAAAUCAUUGCAGUGGUGAAUACCAUCAAAAUUGGCGUAGUAAGUGGGUAGGGGGUUUCUUCCCCUUGCCCACCCACCCUCGAACAACAGGAACAACAGGAACAACAGCAACAGAAGCAGCAGCAGCAUAACAGCAUAACCUGUAAAAAGAAAAAAGAAAGAAAAAAAAUAGUAUAAAAAAGGGCAUAAAUACACACAUGAUCAUGCAUAAUGGUAUACCAAAAGACAUAUGUACACAUUAUGCGCGUCUGUUUGUUAUAUAUACAUAGUGCAUAUAAACAAGUUGAGAAUUCAUGAGAAUUAUCUCAAUGAUCGCAUCAUGUAGUAAACGCAUGCCAUAUGCCAUCUGCCACAUCAGCUGUUAGCAGCGCAUGUGUAAUAUUGUACGGGUACCUCCAUCUAUAUGUGAAAAAUCCAUCCACCAAUCAUCUCAAUGAUCAUGCAUAAACGCAUGCCAUAUGCCAUCUGCCACAUCAGCUGUUAGCAGCACAUGUGUAAUAAUGUACGGGUACCUCCAUCUAUAUGUGAAAAAUCCAUCCACCAAUCAUCUCAAUGAUCAUGCAUAAACGCAUGCCAUAUGCCAUCUGCCACAUCAGCUGUUAGCAGCACAUGUGUAACAUUGUAUGGGUAUCCAUCUAUAUGUGAAAAUUCUAUCAUAAUCAUAUGUUGAUAAAUGUAUAACAAAUUCUAUCAUAUGUUGAUAAAUGUAUAACAAAUUUGAAUAAUAGGGUGCAUAGCCUCUCACUAGUUUUGGACGCACUCUGUUAAUAUCCAUAUAUGUACAUAUGUCCGAAAAACAAUGAAAGACGUAUAUUGUGCUAAUACAAUUUAUAAUAUUUGUCUUUAUUCGAUUUUAUAUGGUUUAGCUAAUUUUAUAUUUUAAAUGUUAGUUUUAUACAAAGGUUGUCGAUUUAAUCAACUGCUUGCUGCGGAUGGAUGGUGAAAAACGAAUGAAGAUACGUGAAUCGGAACGCAGGUCGAAAAAGAAGAAAUCGCGGGUAUCAUUGACGAUCCUUUCUAUUCCCUUUUGUGUGGUGUACGGUGUUGUUAUGUGUGUGGGUGUGUUGAUGUGACAGUUUUCUUCUGUUCUGUGGUGAGUGUGGUGAAUGUUAUGUAUCAGUGGUGUGGAUUUGGAUAAAUGUUGUGUGCCAGUGUGGUAUGUUGAUGCUUAGUGAGUGUGGAUGAAUGUUACAGUUGGGGGUUGAGCCAGACUCAUUUAAACAUCCCGGCCCCCCUAGGCGAAUGUUUUAGCCUAGCAGUCGCUGUAGUUGUUAUAGCGUACCUACAAGGCUACUAAGGCUUGUGUUGCGCCAAGACUGUGAUCCGAAUUGGUCGUCAAGUUGAUCGACAAUAUAUGGUAAUUUUUGUGUUAGUUUGAAUGGAUUAUUCGUUACGGACUUAUUCGACUGUCCUUGUGUAUGCACUAAUGUAUGUUGUUGCGCGUAUGAGAGCUCGUGAUAGAGAUCAAUGGCUUUUUUACAUUGCAUUAUUACUUUUGGAUUACUUAUUAUGGACUUAUUCGACUGUCCUUGUGUAUGCACUAAUGUAUGUUGUUGCGCGUAUGAGAGCUCGUGAUAGAGAUCAAUGGCUUUUUUACAUAUGUGUGCAUGUAUGUGCAUAUAUUUAAGAAAAUAUAAUAUGGUUUGUGCAAUCCGGCUUGUUUUUCAUUAAACAUGUUUAAAAAUGUUUGUAGGGUGUUGAGGAAUAGACAGAUUAUAUGUAGUAUAAAUGUUAGUAUGUUUGCGCGAUAAGAAGAGCGUGAAAACGGAAUAGGUAAUAUGCGGUUAUUUUAUCCACUGCACCUUUUCAUUACUUAUUGGUUACUAUGCAGCUUACUGCUUUCAGAAGCUGAAGGCGUAUCGCCGGAACAUAUUGCAAGUGUCCAUGUGCAUAUUUAUAUACUUGAAUAUGUUUUUUAUAUGUGUUAUGUAUAUUUAUAUACAAAUGUAAGCGCAUUGGCAAUUUGUGGUGUAUAUAUGUAUAUGUUAUUUUAUCUAAGCCGAAUUUUUGCAUAUAAAUAAAUAAAAUCUGGAAUCGAUACAACUCAAUUUAUACCGCUUAAAGAGGUAUGGGAAUGUGUAUAGAUUGUGAGUUUAUAUUGCGUUUUCCGAUCCAAUUUAUUUGCUCCUAUUCUACAGGCUGCCAGCUGUUCUGUUGCUCGCUGUGCUUUGUUUCUGUUAUAAUGCAGCUGGAGGUGUGUAUAUUGUUGUUGUUAUUUUCGAGCCCGUUUUUGUUACAUUCACAUUAUGUUGAUUAUGUUAUGUUAAUGUUUAGUGCUUAGUUUACCGCCCGUUUGUUUUUGUAUUUAUGUUUGUUUUUUAUUUAUUUUUCUUCUGGACGAGUGAUACUUAUAUUGCAUACUUGUUUUGCACUGUUUCUUUCUUUUUGUUAUAAGUUUGUAUACUUAUAUGAUUGUGUAUAUUUAUACUCUCGCAACAAAAGUUGUUGUUUUAUUUAAAUAUUUUGCGCAGUUGUAUAUUUUAUUAUUGUGUUAGUCACUGCACAUUUAUUUUAUAAGAAUAUAUAUUCCGUUCACUGCAAUUAUUUUUUACUUUUCUUUUUGUAUUUCCGAAUUUUUGUCACCGCAUUUUAUGAUUUUAAUGUGUAUGUAUUUUAUUUGAUUUUUUGGUAGUAUCACCAAUAGUGCCUUUCAGUAAGGCUCGAAGGACCAUGAAUAAUAGGGUGCAUAGCCUCUCACUAGUUUUGGACGCACUCUGUUAAUAUCCAUAUAUGUACAUAUGUCCGAAAAACAAUGAAAGACGUAUAUUGUGCUAAUACAAUUUAUAAUAUUUGUCUUUAUUCGAUUUUAUAUGGUUUAGCUAAUUUUAUAUUUUAAAUGUUAGUUUUAUACAAAGGUUGUCGAUUUAAUCAACUGCUUGCUGCGGAUGGAUGGUGAAAAA